rnacentral:rRNA from 1 species
UACGGGGGGGGCAAGCGUUGUUCGGAAUUACUGGGCGUAAAGGGCUUGUAGGCGGCCAACUAAGUCCGACGUGAAAUCCCCAGGCUUAACCUGGGAACUGCGUCGGAUACUGGAUGGCUUGAAUUCGGGAGAGGGAUGCAGAAUUCCAGGUGUAGCGGUGAAAUGCGUAGAUAUCUGGAAGAAUACCGGUGGCGAAGGCGGCAUCCUGGACCGACAUUGACGCUGAGGAGCGAAAGCUAGGGGAGCAAACGGG